CGGGCCCUGAACUUACAUCCGAAGUGUUCUCAACAAACCAGGAACUUCCAUUUUCCUCACAGCCUCUGUCAUGGUUUAUAGUUUCAGACCCACCUUCAGAUGGUAUCUGAGCCUGGCAUAGCAUCUGUGUACUUUUGCAUGGUUGAAAUUUUCCAUACUAAACAUUUUUUUUUAAAGAGUAGCAUUUGGGUUUUCAUUCUCCGCUCUUGCUGGAGCCGGCUCCGCCUCACCAGCUUAAGGAGUUAUCUUGUCUCAAGUGGGCCCUUCCGUCUCUGACCACCUCCAGGCCUGGCCACACCCAGCUUACCUGGGAAAUAGCAACCUCCUGAUGUGGAUGUGGUGUCUGGAGCUCAGGCUGCCCUCUGGGAACAUGAGGACAAGCAAGCAUCACCCCUUUGGGGUGACAGGGUGAUGGACUGGAAGGAGCCUGGGUUCCUGAAAGUUCUGUGGAGCUGCCGUACCAACCCUGGACCGCCUGUGUCAUAGAGAAAACCUGUUAUCUUGUUUGAUCAACUGUUACUUGGCUUUUACAUACUAUCUGAUUACACCCUUCGCCAAGUGCCCGGGCGCCUGGAGGGGCUCAGCACCCUGCUCCAGGCUCAGAAAAACAGCAAAACCAGACCAGCAACCCAUGGCUGACCUCAGGACCAGCAUUGGAUAAUGACCCCUGGUGCAGGCCAAUCAGUGGAGACCACAACACCCGGGGAAACUGCUGAGUAUUCUAUUAUCUUCCCCUGGGCCCUCCCCUAAAAUCUCCACCCUUAAAACCCUCAGGAGAAGAGCCCAGUGCAGGCGCCCUCCCAGGAGCAGGCCCUGCCUUUCCCUUCCUCCCCCUCCCCCGCCCCCACCCCAGGCACAUUACCACUACCUUCCUCACCCCCAGGCUCCUAGGGCCCUCUGCCUCCAUAACUCACUUCCUCUGCCCACCUCUUCUAUGAACGACUUCUUCCACCUCCGUGAUUUUAUAAAUAAAUGUUCUCUUAUAAUUUGAUUCUUGGCUCUGAAAUCUUUCCUGCCCAGAACUCAAGCACCGAGGUUGCUGAACCCAAGUCCAGUCUGACCCCGAUCCUGCCGCCUCCAAUACCUUCAGCUCUUCUCUCUCAGGCUUCAUUUUCUUUAAUGGAGAGAGGCCGGACUAGCCUUGGACUGUUUAGCGGCAGAAAUUGUUUUUCUGAUAGAAACCGUACGUAAAACAGAUACAAGCAGAACUUCUGACCCAUCCAGUCCUUUAGGUUCCGUCCCCAGAUGGAGGGGGGUGAGUUCUGAGGUUCCCCAGGAGCACGGUCUGAAGGCACAGGACCCACCCCUCCCCCAGGUGGUGUCCAUGGGCGGUAGGAGGGCCCGGCCUGGAUUCCUGAGGCCGCCAGGCUCCAAGUGCUUCUUCUAGUGCAGGGAGCGCAGGAGCUCUGACAAACCCAGUGCUGUGGUCUGGAACCUACUCAUCUGGAAGAGCGAUGGAGAGGAAAUGCUGACGGAGCAGUGUCUGCCCCCUGACUUCCGCUCCCUCAGCCCGGAGGCCAGGACGGCACCCCAAUGCCUUUCAAAGCCGCCCUCAAUAGACACACUCUUCUCUACCUUUACUCUGGGGUUAUCAGCCAGCCAACCACUGGCCUGGGCUGCUGGCUGUGGAGCAGAGGCGGGAGCUCUGCCUGGCACUCGCAGCCCCGGCCGGGCUGGGAACCGCUUUGUGAGUCCGGGCGGGUGAAACGGCUUUGUAAGCCACAGAGGCCGUGUGUGAGGGCACAGGGGAUGUUCAUGGCGCUCUUCAGAGGGUGACAUCUCAAGCUGGUGACAGGUGACCUUGCCGAUGUGCAUACUCAGCAGUGAUGUUGGCCAUCGCCCAUCAGCAGCACAGUUUAGCGACUGUCCAACAACAGCCUCUGAGUCAUGGGAACACUUCUCUCCUUUCAAACGGCACAUCGCCACACGCAACACCCCCCCUCUAGGCUCCGGCACUUCUAUUCCUGUUGCCCAGUGUGUCCUUCUUCCUCUCUAGAUUUUCAACGCUCUGACUUCGUGCCCUUGAGGGCUCUGUUCACCUAUCACCUCCUCCAGGAAGUUCUCCCUGAUUACUCCCCUGCUACCCUUCCAAGGUUGAUUUAUGUGCCCUUCCUCUGUGUAGCAAGUUCUGUUUUCCUGCCUGGGGCAUGUCACACGGUGUCUGUCUUUUCCACUGGAAGAGUCUGGGGCUUGUGUGUUUCCUCUACCCGCAGAGCUACAGGGCCUUCCUAGCAUCCUAGUAUCACCGAAUAGUUGAACAGGGAGGGCUCUCAAUUGACCCUUGGCAUUACCCCUUCAUUCUACAGAGGGGAAAUGAGCCCAGAAAGAAUUCGUGAUUAUUCCGAAGGCCACUCAGAGGCCUGGUAACAGAAUUGAGCCUGGAACUCAGUCACCUGACAACCUGCACUUUUUCCCUACCAGGUGGCGUCAGCGAGACCAGGGCUGCGACGCUGGCUCCUCCCUUCACCAGUGCCGGCCCUGAGCACCUUGCUCCAACUCCUGAGGGUGUUUGCACCGAUGGGAGUUGAGAGUAACCGUACCUGAGGCCCAACACAGCUGCUGUGGGGGCUCGCUGGCCUCUGGUGAGCAGAGAGCUCAGUGCUUGGUACAGGAUAGGGAUGGGGAGCCCUGGCCCGUGUGGCUCCAUUGGUUGGAGCAUUGUCCCAGGUACUAAGGGUUGUGGGUUUGAUACCUGGUCAGGAUACAUACAGGAGGCAACCGAUCAAUGUUUCUCUCUCACAUCAAUGUUUCUCUCUCUCUCUC